CCUCGUGCCUCCAGAAUUAAGUUGAAAAUAUUCUAACACUUAGGGGGCACCAAAGGGACUAUAGCAAGGAGGUAACUGUUCACUUGAGACACAGUCAGAAAGUCAUGAGACUCUAGGGUCUUCCAGGGGCCCAUGGAACCAGUGAGCUGGCCCAGAUCCAAGCUUCCCUAAUGCAUCUUCUCAUCACUUCAUUUCCUUUCCAUUAGUGGCAGUGGAGGACAUGACUUAUCUUUAGUGCCAAAGACACUAAGAGAAUGAACUCUUCCUGGUAACUAAUUAAGUUUUAUUGCCUUCUCUCCCAUCAUCUCCUCUCUUUUCUGUUGUUUCUGUGCAGGUUCCACUUUUUGUAGUUGUUCUGUUUUUGACUUUUGUUUCCUCUUCCUUUCAGCAGAUGGAAAGGCAGAUCAACAUCUGAGAAGCCAGUCUUACUCCCCGCAGGCAACAGCUGCUUCCAGAAAACAGCCCUGUGAUUGUCACCAUCAGAUCCAUACAUUUUCAAGGGAAGUUGGUCCCACACCAGAAGUCAUAGUUAAAUCACCAGCAGUAAUGCAGGGACAUACUGGUUGCUUCUUGGCUUUUCCAACCCUCUGCCAUGCCUGAACAUCUUUGUGAAAGUCCAGGAACAACAAAUAAGCUUAAGGAUAAAAGUCCCCCAGCCACACCGCCACAAACCCCUGUUAAACUCAUGCAUGACUUGUGGAAUCCUUUCCCCCACUGUCACUAAAAGGCCUUUUACAUUUUCCCUCCUUAAAACACCAGUUUACUGAAUGGAAUGCUAGUUCCUAAAUAUUUGCUACACACACAGCUAUAUAUAGAGUUCCCAGGGGAUGAUUUUUUUCUUGUCAUCUUUUAAAACUACAGUUAUAUGUUGAUUUAAUUAUCUUCUCUCUAGAUUACUCUGCCAAAGUACAGUUCCUACUGGAAGACAAUGAUCUGACCUAACCUACUGUUGGCUGAAGGAAGGAGAAAAGCAAUUGAAGAUGUCUGUUGAGUGAUUACCCUCAUAAUCCGUGACUAAGAACAUCCAAAUCAGCAUGGCUUGUUGCUGUCUGAAAUUAUUACUACUUAGGGUUUUUCACGUGUUAUUUCGUGUAUUGAUUAUUCUGUUUUACACUUGCAAGAUGUAUUGUCUCUUCAGAAAUAAAACUUUAUCACUUGCUUCAUCA